GCGAAGACGACGCGCUUGAAAAUUGAAAAUGGGAGUUUCCAGGAACGCCCAAGGGGCAAAAGCGAAUUCAGCGGUGGAGCUUGCACUGCUUCAGCAGUUUCUUCAACCUCUCCGACAUGAGCACCUUUGAAAUUUGUCUGCUGGAUUCAAAACAGUCUGAAGCAGUCCGAGCAUUUGUCCAAACGCUGCAUGAAUCCUGUCGGCCGAGGUUGCACAGGCAGAGCACGCACCGUUCGCGCCGAUGCAUUCGAAAAGCAAGGAAGGGACGCCUGUGGUCGUCCGCCGGAUGCUACUUUGACGCCCUUCACCUUUGUCAACUACUAUGCCGUCAACCGUCUAUGGACCAUGCUAAACUAAAAGUACAUUGAGUACCGUAUCAAGCAACGUAGAUUAUUAAAGCUAACACGCCAGCACAAUAAAAUAGUGGAGGACUACGUUG